AGCUUUGUGCAGUGGCAGAAUCAUAGCCAGUGAGGUUUAUCUGAGGUGCAAUUAUUUCUAAUUGAGAAAGAUUUCUAACUUA
rnacentral:snRNA from 1 species